CCUACGGGAUGCUGCAGUGAGGAAUAUUGGUCAAUGGGCGCUAGCCUGAACCAGCCACGUCGCGUGAAGGAUGACUGCCCUAUGGGUUGUAAACUUCUUUUAUAUGGGAAUAAAUUGCAGUAUGUAUACUGCUAUGCAUGUACCUUCUGAAUAAGGACCGGCUAACUCCGUGCCAGCAGCCGCGGUAAUACGGAGGUUUCGAGCGUUAUCCGGAUUUAUUGGGUUUAAAGGGAGCGUAGGCGGGUUGUUAAGUCAGUUGUGAAAGUUUGCGGCUGAACCGUCAUAUUGCUGUUGAUACUGGCAGCCUUGAGUACAGUAGAGGCAGGCGGAAUUCGUGGUGUAGCGGUGAAAUGCUUAGAUA
rnacentral:rRNA from 1 species